UACGGGGGGGGCAAGCGUUGUUCGGAAUUACUGGGCGUAAAGAGCGUGUAGGCGGCCCGAUAAGUCCGCUGUGAAAGUCCAGGGCUCAACCCUGGGAUGCCGGUGGAUACUGUCGGGCUCGAGUCCGGAAGAGGCGAGUGGAAUUCCUGGUGUAGCGGUGAAAUGCGCAGAUAUCAGGAGGAACACCAAUGGCGAAGGCAGCUCGCUGGGACGUGACUGACGCUGAGACGCGAAAGCGUGGGGAGCAAACAGG
rnacentral:rRNA from 1 species